rnacentral:rRNA from 1 species
AGAGUUUGAUCAUGGCUCAGAACGAACGCUGGCGGCGUGGAUAAGACAUGCAAGUCGGACGCUAAUUAGGAGGUAGCAAUAUUUUCUAGUUGGAGUGGCGCAAGGGUGCGUAACACGUGGGUAAUCUGCCGUGAAGUUUGGAAUAACUCGCUGAAAGGCGAGCUAAUACCGGAUGUGACUGUUUGGUGGCAACAUUGGACAUUCAAAGCUGGGGACCGUAACAGGCCUGGCGCUUCACGAUGAGCCCGCGGCCUAUCAGCUAGUUGGUGAGGUAACGGCUCACCAAGGCUAAGACGGGUAGCUGGUCUGAGAGGACGACCAGCCACACUGGAACUGAGACACGGUCCAGACACCUGCGGGUGGCAGCAGUCGAGAAUUUUUCACAAUGGGCGCAAGCCUGAUGGAGCGACGCCGCGUGGGGGAUGAAGGGUUUCGAUCCGUAAACCCCUGUCAUUUGCGAACAAACCUUAGUUGUUAACAGCGACUAAGCUGAUCGUAGUGAAAGAGGAAGGGACGGCUAACUCUGUGCCAGCAGCCGCGGUAAUACAGAGGUCCCAAGCGUUGUUCGGAUUCACUGGGCGUAAAGGGUGCGUAGGUGGCCAGGUAAGUUUGGUGUGAAAGCUCGGAGCUUAACUCCGAAAAGUCAUUGAAUACUAUCUGGCUGGAGGGUCGGAGGGGAGACUGGAAUUCUCGGUGUAGCAGUGAAAUGCGUAGAUAUCGAGAGGAACACCAGUGGCGAAGGCGAGUCUCUGGACGACUCCUGACACUGAGGCACGAAAGCUAGGGGAGCAAACAGGAUUAGAUACCCCAGUAGUCC